GUGCGUUAUUUUUGCAAACGGCGCGCUGCGAGAUACGCGCGGUCAGGGUAAGGACGAAUGCAGUGACGUGAUAAACCUAAUCUAGACAGUCGCCGGCCGCCGCGCCGCCGCAACGCUGGAACAUACUAAAAUAACAUCGACAACCAAGUAAACAAUUUAUUUACAUUAAAGUCUACAGACGAGGAAAGCUAUAGUAAACGUAUAGUGAAUUUAAUGAUUAAAUCAGAGUGAGGUGUUGCACAAAUGGAAGAAAUCUCCCCAACGACGGAGGUGGUCAUCCGCGAUGCCAGGAUAGAUGAUAUGCCGGAGGUAGACAAAAUGAUACAGGAACUGGCUGUUUAUGAGAAAUUGACCGACGAUGCGAGACUAAACGCUGCAGACUUAGUGCGCGACGGAUUUGAGUCCCCGGCGGCGUUCGGC